rnacentral:rRNA from 1 species
CCUACGGGAGGCAGCAGUGAGGAAUAUUUGUCAAUGGCCGGAAGGCUGAACCAGCCAUGCCGCGUGAAGGUCAGUGCCCUAUGGGCGUUAAACUUCUUUUGUGCGGGAGCAAUAAUGGUCACGUGUGGCCAGACGAGAGUACCGUACCAAUAAGCAUCGGCUAACACCGUGCCAGCUGCCGCGGUAAUACGGGGGAGGCAAGCGUUAUCCGGAUUUAUUGGGUUUAAAGGGUGCGUAGGCUGUGAGGUAAGUCAGCGGUGAAAUGCCCCCGCUCAACGGGGUGAAGGGACAUUGAUACUGCCUUGCUGGAAUGCGGAUGCCGUGGGAGGAAUGUGUGGUGUAGCGGUGAAAGGCAUAGAUAUCACACAGAACACCGAUUGCGAAGGCAUCUCACGAAUCCGCGAUUGACGCUGAUGCACGAAAGCGUGGGUAUCAAACAGGAUUAGAUACCCCUGUAGUC